AAAAACAUUUCUAUAAUAAAUUAUAUUUAGAUUUUUAAAGAAAACUAAUUUUAAUAUAUAUUUUAAAAAUAUUAUCUAUAAUUUGAAUUUUAAAACAGUUUUUAAUAUGUUUUAAAACAAUUAUUUUCUUGUAUCAAGAAAAAUAAUUAUUUUCUUAUUUUUUUAAUAAAUAAUAUUUAUAAUUUUCGUAGAAAACCUUAUUUCCAAUUAACUUAUUUGAAUUAUUUUUUAAAUAAGAAAUUUAUAAUUAAAAUAAAGACAUUUAAAACCAAUUUUCUAAAAAAAUAAUUAAAAUUAUUAAAUUUUUUUGAAUAAGUUUAUUAUAGGUUCGGAUCAUAUUUUCUCUUUUUGACACAAUACUUAAAAGUACCCAUAACUCCUCCCCACCUCAUAAAUAGGAAGAUAAUGUUUUUCAGCGCACUGAAACCCACGUCCUCUUGUAUUGACAACAAUAUUAUGCUAAUCAAGUUAAGACUUAUCAACAUUUAAAAUUAUUAAUUAACACUAUUGUUAAACAACAAUUUCAUAACUCAAAUUAUUUUUUUUAAAACGAAAGUGCUUUACUAUUUUCUUCUAUUCUUUUAUGCAGAACUUAAAUCAUGGUGUAAAUGCCCAAAUUAGACCGGGCCCAAUGAACCAAUACCAGACCCAAACCCAAUACACCCUAUUACACCCAAAAACAAAUUAAACCAACAGCCCAAACAAAAAACUAGCACACUAGCCCAAGAACUAAAGCCAAACAGAAACCCUAAAGCUACCUAAGCCAGCCGCCACACGCCACCACCGCCUCUACUACCGCCGAUCGUCGCCCGUACCACCAACCCUCUGACACCUGCAAAGCAAAAGAAACACGCAACAGAGACAGAAGAAAACAACGCAGAAACAGACAAUAAAAGAGAAAAAUAAUAGAAAAUAUACGGUUGUAAUAUGCCUAUAAAAAACUAAACGAACAUUUUGUAAUGCUUCGGCUGCUUCUGGAUCCAAAAAAGGAGAAACACGAAAUCAGUAAAAAGCUGAAGUUUAAAGAGGUGUAAAUUCCUUUUUUUCUUUUUCUGUUUAUUAUUUAUAUCUUUUAUUUUAUUUUUAUUUUUUUCACAAACAUAUUUUGAAACAUAUAAACAAGAGAGGAAGAAACCUCUCUUACCGGUUUGUUCAGUGUUGAUUUAGCCAAAGCCCGCUUCUCCGGUCUGAAGUCGACGGACCCUUGCGGAUCCGGUGAAAGCCUCGGCGGUGGUGGAGGCAUAUUAUGCGCCGGUGAAGCCUAAGAGUCAGACAAGGUGAAGGGUAGGGGAAAAAGGGAGGUCUGGUAUAUACUUUAGUAAAGAAAAUGGUAGAAUCCAAUUGUUUUUUUUUUGUUUUUUUUAAUUUCAAGUGAAAUGGCAUCGUUUCAAAGGGAAACAGAUCUGCACUUCUUUGUAUGAAAGGGUUAAUUUCGCGCUAAGCCCUUCCUCUUUUGCGCUACCUUUCAAUCAGUUUACAUUUGUAUUUCUUUGUUCUUUUAAACUAUCCCUGUAACUUGCGCAUGUUUGCAGUCAGGUCCACGCCUAAGCUCUACGUUUUGGGUCUGGUAUAUUGCCAAUUUAGAUCCCUGAGCAUUGGAGCGCAUUGCGCUUCAGUUCUUCUUUUAAUUUCAGCAGUGUAUUUUAUUUAUUAAAUAUCAUUUUAGUUUAUUUUUUAUUCUAAUUGAGUCCUUUUAAUUUGUAUAGUUCAAUUUUUUAAUUCGUUUAGCAUUUUUUAUAUACAUUUUAAAUUACUUAGAUAAUUUACUUUUUUUUAAAUUAUAAAACUAUUAUUUUGAAAUUACCUUGUAUAUCAUAUCGUUUUUUAAAAUUUUGUAUAAUAUUUAAUUUAUAUUAAUACAUAUAUGAUUUAUGACAAAAUUAGUUUUAUUUUAUACACAUUAUUAGUUUCAUGUUAUUUUACACAUAAUUUCUUUUAAAUUUAUUUAUUUAUGUCUCCUUUCAAAUUUAUUACGUAUAUAGUUUAUUCUUUAAAAAGUAUGUUUUAUUAUUUCCUUGUUAUUCAAGAUUAUUUCAUGUAUAUAUUGUUAUAUUCUAUAUUGAUUUGUUAUUUUGUCAUGUAUAUUGUUUAUUCUUUAUUUUUAUUAUAUUUUCAUUAUAUAUUGUUUAUGUUAUUUUUUUUAUUAUUGUCUGUAUAUCAUCACCUUUAAAUAGAUAUGUUUUGUUUUUAAAAUAUUUUUGUAUGUUAUUUGCUCCAAAAUUCUUCUUUUACAAUAUUUAUUUUAAUCUUCAUUUACAUGUUCUUAGUUUUAUUUCAUAUAUAUGUAAAUCAUUUCAAACCCUAAAAUUUUUUUUAGUGGCUUUUGAAUUGUUACACAUUAUAUUGACUCCUAUUAUCCGUAUUGUUUUAUAUAUUAUGUAUUGUUUUUUAGAUUUCAUUUUAUUUCAUACAUAACUGUUGCAUAUUGUUUACUCUUCAUUUGCAUUAUCAUUUUAAUUGUUAUUCAUUUAUAUUUGAAAAUUUGUUGUAUUUCCUCCUAAUAUGUUUCUGUGGUGAGUUAUAUUUUGGUUUCUUAUUAAUGUCUUAAGUAAGAUAUGAACUCAUUGCCAUGAUGUGUUGAUUAAUUCAUUUUUUAUGUUUAUACUAUUAUUCUUUGCCGAAUAUAGUAUUUCAUUUGUGUGCAUUGUCCCAUGUUUAUAAUUUCACUCCUUUUUUGUUUGCAAAUGCUACUUUGUAAUUUGUGACUUUUUUUGUUUUAAAUCAAUUAUUCUAUCUUAUUUCAAGUAAAAUUAAUGUGUUUUAAGCUAAUUUUAUGAUUAUUCACUUAAAAUUUCUUUAAAACGAAGGCAAUGUUCGAUGUUCGGCAACUCUGGGAAUCAUGCCCUAUCGUGCUGGGUUGCAAUUUUCCGUUUGUUCAAAAUAAUCGAAUACUUCUUUAGAAUUUCACUCAUGUUUUUUAAAUUCUAAGACAAUAUUCGAUGUUUGGCAACUCGAGAAAAUCGUGCCCUAACUUACUAGGUUUUGAUUUUUUUUAUUUACCCUAAAUAACUGAACAUCCUUUUAAAAAAGGGUUUAAAUACAUUAAUUUUAAAUAAAGGCAAGCUCAGUCUCAAAGUUCGAGAUGUCGUGUCCUAACUUACUGGGCGUGACAUUUUAUUACUUCGAGAUGAGAGUCCUUAACAUCAGUUUUAAUUUAUUCGAUCAUUUUUAAAUUAGCAUUAAUACAAAGAGAGAUUGUAUUUUAAAUUCUUUCAAGUUUUCAAAUCUUCGACACUAAGAUACUAAUUAAUCAACUAGGUACCAAUUUUGGGCAUAUCGAGGGUGCUAAUCCUUCCUCGUGCGUAACUGACUUUCGAACUUAUUUUUCUGAUUCUCGUAGACCGAAAAUUACCGAAUCUUAACUCUUAUUAAAAUGAUUAAUUUAAGGUGACCCGAUCACACCUCAUCAAAAAGGAUUGGUGGCGACUCUUAUCUUUUUGUUUUCAUUGUCAAGAACCAAAUCGAUACCCGUUUUUAAAAAAUGGUUUCGACAGCUUGGUGACUCCACUGGGGAAUUUGAAAGUCGAGCCAUAAAUUGAUUAAUUUUUGUCCUUUGUCGAAAUUUGAAAAUUCGUUUUGAACUUACGAUCACUUCAUUGCAUUUUAUCCGUUUUUCUUACGGCUUUCAUUAUUUUUCCUAUUUUCUUUAUUAUUUUGAGUUUUUCUUAUGCAUAUAUCCUCGCACAUUGCAUUGCAUGACUGCUGUGGUCACACCUUUCAAGUGGGAGUGAGAAGCUAUGCCUUCGUGAAGUUUUCACCUUCGCGUGGGCUAGUCGACUGCUUUCGGGAUACAUCCGUACCUAUGAUUUCAUGAGAUUUUCAUCUCCGCAUGGUCAUAGGGAAAUGUAUUCCCCCAAACUGAACUCGAUCCAUAUGAGCCUAUAAUGGGUGAAGAUCAAGGAAUCUGCUGGUUCGGGUACCCUUACUCUAGAACCGAGCCACAUAUAGAGGGACCUAGGAGCUUACCCUAGGUAGAGUUACUCCAAACCCCUAGUGGUCACCCAAGUAGGUACUCUAUUUUAUUUAUUUCCCCUGUACUAACGUGUUUUGUUUUGUUUUGUUUUUAUUUUGUUUAUAACUGCAUUGCAAUACAUCAUCAUAGAAAGGAGGUGUUGAUUCAUAUUUGAUUGCUUAAUAGAAUAGUUUGUCAUAAGAAAACGAAUUUCUUGAUAAAGUGGAUUAUAACACAGUUAUCUAAAUAUGGUCCAAGUAAACAUAAUGAAAGAAGGCUGAUAGCCUAUGAAGAAAUACACGACUUUGCUUCAUUGUCUGAGGAUCAAAACCGACAAGGAUUAUUCGAGAGCCGUUAUGUCUUGACUUUCUUAAAGGAGCCAACGAGUAUCACGGGGAUAAGCGAGCAACGAGUCGUAGCCUGGAUCAAACAAAAUGAGUUAACGGGGACAUAUUUUAGAAAAUUUGUAAGACUCGACCAUAACAUCCGGAUAUGAAAAAGAAAAUAGGUGUCUUUGCUGAGAAUAUGAGAGAAAGAUCGUAUAUGUAAUCCGUUUUAUGUAAAGGAAUUUGUUUUUUAGAAAAGUUAUUCUAAUGAAAUUGAAAUCAGAAUCAACGUACUUCUUUCUUUUGCAUUCAUUCCAUGCAUUUGCAUUUGCACUGCAUUAUUUGCAUUGGACUUUCCUUAAAAGAACCCUAAUUAGGUAAAAUUAUUUCAGUUAACUUGGGAACCAAUAAAAGUCAAGCGACUAGGCAUCAUUACGGUACAAGGAAAGGGACAAAAGAUAUGGAUCAAAGAUUGGAAAGACUGGAACAACUUCAAAAAGAAAUGCGAGACCAGUUACAACUGCAAAUGCAAGAGCAACUGAUGAAGAUCCAGCAAGAUAUGAGGGACCAAAUGUUAGAGUCCCAAAGGAAUAUGAUGAAUCAGUUGUCCCAAUUACUGACUAAGGGGCUAGGAAAAGGAAAAAACUUCAUGAUCAAUGAUGGAGAGGACAAUGAGGAGCCUCUGUACCCUCCGGGUUUCACCUUGAUAAAUAAUCAGACAUGUUCGCAAGAUGCACCUAUUGCUAUCAUAUCAAACAACGUCAGACCGAUACCUCGGCACCCAUGAACUACCCAACGGGAUCAGGUUCCAAUCCAAGGAACAGUCCAACCAAUCAUGAAGUUCCUGAUCUAAAUGAAAUGGCAGAAAAAGAAAAGGUUGAACUACCAAGGCAUCUCGAAGAUCGAUACAAGUGGUUGGAAGAAAAACUUAGAGCGAUGGAGAAUGCUGAUUACCAUUGCAGGGUUGACGCCAAAGAUCUCAGCUUGGUCCUAGAUUUAGUACUCCCGCCGAAAUUCAAGACUCCAGAAUUUGAAAAAUAUAGUGGGACUAGUUGUCCUGAAGCUCACAUCACGAUGUUUGCCUAAAAAUGAUAGGUCACGUUGAUAACAAUCAACUGUUAAUUCAUUGCUUCCAAGAUAGCCUGAUUGGGUCAGCUACCAAAUGGUACAAUCAACUGAGCCGUGCCAAAAUUCAUUCAUGGAAAGACUUGGCACAGGUUUUCAUGAAGCAAUACAGCUACGUGAUAGACAUGGCUUCCGACAGAGUUAUACUGCAGAAUAUGGAAAAGAGGCGAAGUGAGAACUUCAGGCAGUAUGCCUAAAGAUGGAGAGAGGUAGCGACACAAGUCCAGCCACCUCUUCUGGAGAAAGAAAUUUCGAUGCUUUUCAUCAAUACUUUGGAAGCCCCGUUCAUUACCCAUAUGUUGAGAAACGCCACCAUGAGCUUCUCAGAUAUAGUAAUGUCCGGUGAGAUGAUUGAAAACGCAAUCAGGAGUGGGAAGAUAGAUGCAGGAGAAAACACUAAAAGAUCAACCCCGACAAACAACGAAAAUGAAGUAAACGUCGUGAGCAUGCCUUCCAAAUCACUCAAUGUAGGUCAGCCGAGGAUUGUAACCACUAGUUAUCAGGGCUCUUCGAGGCAGGAAUCUAACUCGAGGCCAAAUACAGAAAGGCUCUGAUUUACACCCAUCCCGAUGUCAUAUAAGGAGUUGUAUCAGAAUCUUUUUUAUGUGCAUGUGGUGUCUCUGUUCUACUCGGAACUCGUGCAACCUCUGUUCCCAAAAUGGUAUAAUGAGAAUGCUCAAUGUGAGUACCACACAGGAAUAAGGGGACACUCAAUCGAAAACUGCACUACAUUUAAAAAGUUGGUCGAAAGGUUCAUUGAAAUGGGAAUGGUGAAGUUUGACGAUUCCUCAGAACCAAAUCACUCCGACAAUGCAUUUUAAACGCGAUUUGUGAUACCUCAAACAAGUCAAAUCCUGGAAGGAAUAUCGAGGAAUCUGAAUGAUAUAUCCGAAGAAAGAAUCGGGGAAUAAAAGUUUCCAAACCCUUGCAUUACUUGGAAAUGUUUUGAACAAUGGGACUGUGGAAGAGAUCCCUUUAUUUUUAGAGCUAAUCUAGAGUAAUAUUCAAAACACGCUUGUUGCUUUAAGCCUAGAAGCAAUUAGACCCCUUUUAUGAAAUAGGCUUAUGUCUUAAGUCUUCAUUUCAAUAAAAUACAUCUUUUUUGAGUAAAUAUUCUUUUAUUUCAUUUCAUACUAUACAAAUAAUUAUUCAUAGAUUCUUUUGUUUUUUGGACUUUUUUUUAAACAUUCAUUUAUUCUUCAUUCAUGAUCAUACCAUACAAAUAAUCAUCCUUAGAAUCAUUUAUUCUUUGAAAUUUGCUUUCGUACGUACAAUAGGUCUCCAGAUAUCAAUGACAUGAGCGACGUUGCUAUUGACCCAGAAUUUCCUUUUGAGCGAGACAUGCGUCUUAAGGGAUCUCAGGACUUGGAAGAUGACAGAGAUUGUAGCAUAUCUUCUGAUUUGUUAAGGAUGGUAGAGCAAGAUGAAAACAGAUCCUCUCUUACAAAAAGUCAGUGGACAAUAGGUCUAGAACAAGAGAAAGAGGCAAACAUUGGAGUCUGUAUCACCACAAAGACAAAGCGAAACAUCAUUGAGUCAUUCCAAGAAAUCAAAGAUGUUUUCACAUGAUCGUAUCAAGAUACGUUUGGGUUACUAAGAUGUGAGGAUGCUACAAGGUGUUUGAACAGCAUAUGCUAAUGGUUCUAUAAUGGUCAGGCUAAUCAUGAGAUUUGGAUUCUGCCGAUCCACCAAAGAAGGGGAUUGUGUCAGUAUGCCGUCUUUAUGGAGACAAGAUCCAUGUGUCCCUUCAUUUCUUUGUAGAUUUUCUCUAUGCGGGGCAUGGAGGUUAUUGGGCCAAUCUUGUCGAAAGCUUCUAGCAGGCAUCAAUUACUUCGCCAAGAGGGUGAAAGUCGCUUCAUAUGCCAAUCAUCAAAUUCUUAAAAAAAAAGAAGGAUCAUGGAAAGAUGACUGAGACUUGUAAAGAUUGGCAUAAAGAGUCAUCAUUUACCCUCUAUGCUCAUCGAACGUUGGCCGAGACCUUCACCGGGGUGGUAUAUUUCAUUAGUCUAUGGGCUGAAAACGGUUUUGAAAAAGAGAUUUCUUGUCUCUGAGUCUUGAUAGAGUUGAAGUUGGAUAAGGCAAAAUGGAUCCAAUCCUGAUAUGGUCAGUUGAAUUUGAAGAAAGGAGGUUGAAAGCCAUCUGUCAUGGUCCAAUGAACGAUGUGAGCUUACGAUAGAAAGUUCCAUGAGGGAAAACUUGAUAUUGAAGAAGACCCUUGCUAUACAAAAGGACUUCAGAGGGAAGUGGAUGUCAAACUAGGAAAGACCUUAUAGAGUAAAGAAGGACUUCCAGUUCUGGAAGAGCAUUGAUUCUAGUCGAAAUGAAUGGCAGAGAUUUGCCCAAUCCGAUGAAUUCAAAUCCAAUCAAGGAGCAUUCUUAAAAGGAAAUAGGCCAAGGUGAAAACCUGCAAAGGGUGCCUUAAAAAAAAAAGAGGAGAGGCCAAGGUGAAAACUCGCAAAGGGCACCAUGAGACCCAAGGGAUUUUGAAUUGAAAACCCGAAAAGGGUGGCUCAAAUUUAGAUCAAAAUGGGGCAUGCAGCAGUCUUGCUAUGCCUGAAUUAACAAUGAAGAAGCAUGUUACGUCUUGGGGCAUCGACGAAGUACUCCGGAUCCCCUAAACACAUAUUGAGCUCAGAAAGGUCCUUAAGAAAUUGGUACAGAGAAGCUCAAGCUGCGAUAUCUGGGGCACCUAGCUUCCAUUUUGCCCAUUUUUGAAUUUGUUAUCUUUGAUUAUCUUAUUCUUUUCAAGAUAUGUCGCGGUCAAUUUCCUUCUUAUUACAUUGUUAUAUUUGAUUAACUUAUUCAUUUUGAGUUAAUUUCCUCCUUAUUGCAUUUACAAUCUUUGAUUAAUUUAUUCAUUUUGAGUUAUACUUGUUGCGACGUAAAAAAUUUAGCUUGUUCGCUAAUUGUGGCAUUUUAGUGAAAACUUGAAAACUGAAAUUUGAUUUUAAAAUACAGAGGGAGUCGUCAUCGAUCUUUUUUCUAGGUGUGAUCGGACACCUAAUAAAUCAUCUUCUUUUAAAAGAAAGUUCAUUUUUUAAAUAAAAAGAAGGCCGAGUUUAGGUCUACGUCAAAAACCAAAGUAAAGUUGGGUUCGGGAGUCGGUUACGCGCGAGGAAGGUAUUUGCACCCUCACGAUGCCCAAAAUUGGUAUCUUAUAAACACGUGUUGUCUUGAUUUUCAAAAAUGCGAGUUCAAUGUAACACUUAGAUGUGAUCCGAUUAAAACAUGAGAAUUUUUAAUCUUUUGAUUUUCAGAAGGACAUACCAUUUUAAUACGAGUCCAUUGAUGUUCACCCAACAUAGCGACGAAAUCGAUGACUUAAUGUUAAACCGGUACGUUGCCUUGAUUAUUAAAAUCAAUUAGAAAACAAGAAUAUGACUUUCAAAGUAAUACAAAGCAAAACUGAUAUGGGAUAAAAAUAAAUAAAUAAAAGAGCUAGGUACAGCUUGAAGUAAAUAAUCAAUGUGAUAAUGAUAUUAAAAUGAUAGAGAUAUAUAUGACAUUAAGCGCAAUACUAGAAUUAAACAUGAAAUAGAAACAAUGAAUAUAUAUAUAUAGUGAUGAUGUUAAGAGUACGUGCGAAAAAUAGGAAUGAAAAAAAGAUUUACAUAAUAAUACUAAUAUGGGUACAUAAUAUAUACAUAUAUAUAUAACAUAUUUAAAAUGAACAUAUACAAUAUACAUAUAUAACAGGCAUAUACUAAUAAUAGUAAAAAUAGCAACAAUAAAAGAUAUAUGUACACCAAAUAACAUAUAUAUAUAUAUAGGUAGUAAUAAUGUUAAAGAUAUAGUAUAUAUAGUAUUUGAAAUAAUAUAUAGAAUAGUAAAAGCAUAACUUGUAAUGUUAUAAUAUAUAUGAAAUAUUUACAUAUGUAUAAAAUAAAUAUUAAAAAAAAUAUACACACAUAAGAGAUAUAUAAACCAAUAUGUACAAUAAUAUUAUAAAAGAAAAAGAAACAGAUAAUACAAAAUAUUGAAAUGAAAUAAUGAAAAAUACUAUAUAUACAUAUACACAUAUAAUGAAAUACGUAUACAACAUAAUGUUAAAACACUUAUAUAAUAUAUACAUACAUAAUUAUAAUGUUGAAAGAAAACAUAAUAAUAUUAAUAACAAUACUAAUAUUACAUAGAGAUAUACCUACAUAUAUAUACUAAAGAUAUAUACAUACAUAAAACAUAUACUAAGAUUAAUAAUAAUAAUAAAGAUGAUAUAAAAAAUAUGUACAUGAAACAAUAAAAACAUAUAACUAAUAAUAAAAAAUAAAUAAGAGAAAUAUAUGAGAUAAAACAUAUAUGAUAUAUAUUAGAAAUGAUAAAUAAAAAUAUUCAUACGAUACAUAAAUACGUACAUAUAUAUAAAUAAUAAUGGCGUUGGAGAAUAUACCAUGGUAUUAGAAAUAUGCAUACAAUAUUAUAAAAUAUUUAUAAUUAACAAUAUUAAAAUAUAUACAUAACAACAAAAGUAUGAUAUUAAUAACAUAUAUAUAUAAUAAUAUAAAAAGGGCAUGUAUAUGAUAUAGUACUAGAAUAAAUACAUAAUAUAUACCUAAUAUAAAAAAAUUAUUAAUAUAAAAAACUUAUAAAUAAUAUUGCAUAAAUACAUUAUAAUAUUAAAAAAAAUAUUUACGUCUUACAUAUAUAUUAGAAAUAAUAAUAUUAGCUAUAAUGAUAAUACAUUGAUUAUAUAUAAUAAGAGGAAUAAUAAAAACAAUAAUAAUAUAAAAAUAAAAUAAUAAAAAUGAUAUGAAAAUGAACUCAAAUCUAAUAAAAGGACUAAAUUUGGAACAAAAAUGAAAUCUUGGGGCGAUUUUAAAAAGACACAAAGUGAAAAGGACUAAAAAGUGAUACGCGCGCAACCUGGGGGACCAAAAUAGCAAAUAAACCUUCCCAUUAAAACACAGCAUAUCAGUAAGGACCGAAUUGAAAAGCGCUAAAACCUUCAGGGCCAAAUUAAAAACGUGAAAAACUUAAUUACAAAACAUCAAAAAAGCGGAGGGGUUAAACGCGCAAAUAACCCCUCCCUUAAAAAACGCGCGGACCCUAGGUCGGACGGUUCGGGUCGGAUCGGGCAAGGCUUAAAUGACGUCAUUUUGGGGCUUAAGUAUAGCCCCCAAAACGAUGUCGUUUUGGAGGGCUAUAAAUAAGCUUAAUUUCAGAAAAAAAUCAUUUGUGAGGGGAAUAAGAAAAAAAAGAAAGAGAAAAGGAGAGAAAAAAUAGAGAGGAGGGAGAGGAGAGGGAUUCCGGCUGGGGAGGGGCACCGGUCCAGUUAUGUUUUGUUUUUCUUUUUUUUAUUUAAUAUAUAUAUUUAUUAAAUAUGUGUUUAUAGGUCAAAAAUAGGCUAAAAAAUGAUAAAUAAAUAAAAAUGAAUCGCCUUUUCUUCGGUUUAUGUUUUGGGUAUUUGAUUCUCCGAUUUGUGAUUGUCUUUUUGUUUUUGAUCUCUUGAAUCACUGCUUACAUAUAUGUUUUAAUCUAUUCUUUAUAUUGAUGGUAAAAAUCGAAAAAAAAGAGUCCCUUUUAAAAAACUUCAAAUUGGCUUAUAUAGCCUUUGUACAAAUCUAUUCACUCUGUCUUUGUUACUGUUGCGUGUCCCUCUUGUUUUGCAGGUAGAGCAGGUGGACGUGGUGGUGGCAGAGGUAUGGUGGCUGACAUGGAGAGGCAGACGGUAUGGGGCUAGGUGCAAGUGGGAGCUGAUUAGGGUUAGGGUAUUGGGCUAUGGUUGUAAACGGGCUUGGGUUUUGUGGGUUUGGGUAGGUUUAGUUGUAUGUGGGUCUAGUGGGUUUAGGUUAGUGGGUUAGGGUAGUAAAUGGGCCAACCGGGUUUGUUGUAUUGGGUCUAUGUAAUGCAUUUGGGUUAUGGGUUUUGGGAUCUGAUUGUAUUGGGUGUUGGGCUUACCGGGUUUGGGUUUGAAAAUGUAAGUGGGCCAAAUUGGCCUAUAACAGCUGCCCCUCUUUGCUUAUUGUCGUGUAACGGGAAUGGAGCAAAGACAUAAUAAAAGGCCAAUUUUGCCCCGUCUCGCCUAGUCUUGACUUCAUUGGUGCUCUUCUUGUUCAGAGAGUCUUCUUCUAGUCCACUGUAUCUUGUAGCUUUGGUUCAAUCCACUAUAUCUUCUGACAUAUGCCUUGUAGCUUCAAUCUUCCCUAAUGUAACUUCAAGGAUAUGAGAUUUGUGGCUUCGAUCCAUUUUACUUGUAACUUCAGAAAGAUAAGAUCUACAACUUCAAUCUGCUUUUCUAUCGCUUCAGUGAGAUGAGGCUUGUGUCUUCUCUUUUGUAACUUUAGAAAGGCAAGAUUUGACAUCCUCGAUCAGCUUCACUGCAACUUCAAGGAGACAAAGUCUGGUGUUUUCAAUCAGCUCUCAUCUUUAUUCUUUAUUCGGCAUGUGAUCCUGAGCUUAACUCAUUUCUUGCAAUAUGAAUUGAUUUUUGAAAAAUAGAAUUUGAAAAUACCUCAGUGUGCCCCGAGGCCCAACUCACCUAUCGCAAUAUGAGUUGAUUUUUGAAACAUAGAAAUUGAAAUUAACAGAAAUUGAAAAUACCUCGGUGUGCCCUGAGGCUCAACUCACCUCUCGCAAUAUGAGUUAAUUUUUUGAAAAAUAUAAAUUGAAAAAAAAAGAAAUUGAAAAUACCUCAGCGUGCCCUGAGGCUCAACUCACUUCUCGCAAUAUGAGUUGAUUUUUUAAAAGCAUAACUUGAAAAACGGAAAUUGAAAAUACCUCAGGUGUGACCUGAGGCUCAACUCACCUCUCACAAUAUGAGUUGAUUUUUUUUUGAAAGACAGAAAUUGAAAAACAAAAAUUGAAAUUGCCUCAGCAUGUCCUGAGGCUUAACUCAUCCCUCGCAAUAUGAGUUGAUUUGGAAAAGUAGCAAUUAAAGACAGAAAUUAAAAUUUCCUCAGCGUGUCCUGAGGCUCAACUCACCUCUCGCAAUAUGAGUUGAUUUUUGACAAACAGAAAUUUAAAAUACCUCAGCGUGCCCCGAGGCUCAACUCACUUCUCGCAAUAUGAGUUGAGUUUUGAAAAUAAAACAUCAAAAUACCAAAGCCUGUCAUCUAUGAAGCUCAGGUGUCUUUUCUUUUGAUUCAGUACGGCUAUCAUCACAUCUUCUUGCUAUAUUGGAGUACUUGUAUAUGUCAUGUAUGAUGUUAUCAUGAUAUGCACAUGUUUGUCUUAAAUGCCUUUAUGCCUACAUGAUUAUGCUAUGCGCCCUAGGCAUGUUUGUCGUAUGUCCUUUUUCGUCACGAUUUUUUUUAAGAUCUGCGUUCAUUGUUUUGACUCUUGACUUUUUCUUCAGGCUUUGUACUCGUCUCCAGGUUUCACGAGUAAUCUGUGUUUCUCAGAUAUCACUUUUUUGCCCCUGGUUGAACUUUGUCCUUACUUUGAAGCUUUUGUGUUUGUCAAAUUUUCAUCCAGGUAAUGCUUAACAUUUCUUUUGUUUAGAGUAUGUCAUUUCACUAUUUAUCAUGUAAAUAAACCACAUAAUGAGAUGCAUGAAAAUGGUUAGGUAGGGGCAAAAAGGCUACCUCACAUUUAUUUAUCUCAAAUAUAGAAAACAAAGAAAGUUAAUCAAUGAUAGUAAAAAGUGUCAUAAAGAGAAAAGGGGUCGCAUUCAACGAAUACAAAUGCUCCAGAUAUUCAACGCAUGAACUCUUCCACGUUCCUUCAUCAAUAAUCUUUUCGAGCAUGGCUUCUUGCGUAGAAGAUUUCGAGCUUUCAUAAAUGCUUCAAAUACUGUAAUCUCGCUGUUUGACCUACCGUUCGAAACGCCUUGCUCUUUAAGCUCGGGUUUGCUUCAUUAGAAUGCCCUUUCGGGUUUUCAUCCUAAUUUUUUGCGUUAAUCAAGACGCCCUUUUCGGGCUUUCACCUAGAUCCUUUUUUUAGAUGCCCUUUUCGGGUUUUCAUCUUGAUUUUCUUUUUCUUUAAGCAUAAUAGUUCUUUACAGCAUCUGAGUUCACUAGAUUCGGUAACUCCUUCCCAUCCAUCUCAGUGAGAAUCAAAGCUCCUCCCGAGAAUGCCUUCUUUACGACGUAUGGUCCCUCCUAAUUUGGUGCCCAUUUUCCUCGCAGGUCUUUUUGUAUUGGGAGAAUCUUUCUCAGCACGAGUUCUCCUUCGUAGAAUUCUCUUGGCCGUACUUUCUUGUCAUAGGCCGCGACCAUUCGCUUCUGGUACAUCUGUCCGUGACAAAUUGCCUUUAGACGUUUUUCUUCGAGGAGAUUUAACUGGUCAUAUCGAGCUCGAACCCAUUCUGCUUCCUCUAAUUUUGAAUCCAUUAAGACUCGUAGAGAGGGGAUCUCAACCUCGAUAGGUAGCACAGCUUCCAUUCCAUAGACCAGAGAGAAAGGAGUUGCUCCCGUAGAUGUCCGCACAGAUGUGCGAUAUGCGUACAAAGCAAAUGGUAGCUUUUCGUGCCAGUCUUUAUAUGUCUCAGUCAUUUUCCCAAUGAUCUUUUUAAUAUUCUUGUUGGCCGCUUUAACAGCUCCAUUCAUUUUCGGGUGAUAGGGUGAUGAAUUAUGAUGCUUUAUUUGAAAUUGCUCACAAACUUCUUUCAUCAUCUUGUUGUUCAAAUUCAAAGCGUUAUCUGAAAUGAUUCUUUCAGGCAAACCAUAUCGACAAAUAAUUUUCUUUUUCAAAAACCUGCAAACUGCAGUCUUCGUCACAUUGGAAAACGAAGCGGCUUCUAUCCAUUUUGUGAAGUAAUCAAUAACCACAAAAAUGAACCGGUGUCCAUUAGAAGCUUUUGGGAAAAUUGGCUUUAUAACAUCCAUGCCCCACAUAGAAAAAGGCCACGGAGAAGUCAUGACAUGAAGGGGCGAAGGGGCUGCAUGAAUUUUAUCACCGUAAAUUUGACACAUGUGGUACUUUCUUGCAAAACUAAUGCAGUCGCUUUCCAUCGUCAACCAGUAGUAACCGAGUCUCAUAAUCUUCCUGGCCAUAGUGAAACCAUUGGCAUGUGUCCCACAAAUUUCUUCAUGGACAUCUUCAAGUAUUUUUCUAGCUUCAACAUCAUCCACGCAUCUCAAGAGCACUUGAUCUUUCCCUCUUUUGUAUAGGAUAUCCCCAUCAAGAACAAAUCCGGCUGCCAUUCUUCUGAUUGUUCUUUUGUCGUUCCCAUUUGCUUGUUCGGGAUACUUUUUAUUCUUGAUAUAUUCUAAGACAUCAUGGAACCAUGGUUGUCCAUCUGGCUCUUUUUCAAUGCUGAAACAAUGUGCAGGGACUUCAUAUAUGCUCAUUUGAAGAGGCAUUAUUUUUGGUUCUCUGUUUGCUUUGAACAUUGAAGCCGAAGUGGCCAGGGCAUCAGCCAAUUGGUUUUCUUCUCGUGGGAAAUAAUUAAAAGUUAUUUCUUUGAAUUCUUUAAUCAGUCCUGCCACUAGAUUGCUAUAUUUGACUAAUUUCAAAUCCCUCACUUUCCAAUCUCCACGGAUUUGGUAUAUCACCAAUGCUGAGUCCCCGUACACCUCUAAGAUUUCGAUGUUUCGUUCAAUAGCUGCGCGAAGGCCCAUGAUACAGGCCUCAUAUUCCGUUAUGUUGUUGGUGCAGAAGAAAUUCAGCCUGGCAGUGGACGGAUAAUGGUUCCCUUCUGGUGAUACCAAGACUGCUCCAAUCCCAUGCCUCAAGGCAUUCAAUGCACCAUCAAAGCUCAUCUUCCAUGACUUUCUUUUGGUGACUCGCAUUCUUUUUCCGUGAUGCACAUCAAGUCUUCAUCCAGGAAAUCAAAUCUCAAUGGCUCGUAUUCUUCCGUUGUUCGAGUUGAUAAGAAAUCAGCUAUUGCACUUCCUUUUAUCGACUUUGGCUCACAUAGACGAUGUCGUACUCCGAUAGUAAGAUCUGCCAUCGUGCCAUUCUUCCUGAGAGUGCAGGUGAUUCUAUUAUAUACUUUAUUGUGUCUAGCUUUGAAAUUAACCAUGUCGUAUGAUACAACAUAUAUUGCCUAAGUCUCUGAGCUACCCAAACCAGAACGCAACACUAUUUUUUAAUGGACGAAUAGUUUUCCUCGUGUUCAUUGAAAUUUUUACUGAGGUAGUAGAUCGCUUUUUCAUUCUUUCCUAACUCGUCGUGUUGCCCCAGUAUGCAACCCAUCGAAUUUUCAAACACAGUCAAAUACAAUAUCAGUGGUCUUCCGGGAAUUGGCAGUACUAGCACUGGAGGACUAGAAAAAUAUUGUUUUACUUUAUCAAAGGCCAUCUGGCAUUCCUUGUCCUAUUUUCCCGGAUUAUGUUUUCGAAGGAGUCAAAAAAUUGGGUCGCACUGGUUGGUCAGUUGAGCAAUAAACCGAGCGAUGUAGUUCAACCUCCCUAAAAAUCCUCUGAGCUCUUUUUGCGUGCGCGGAGGUGGUUAUUGUUGAAUGGCUUUUAUCUUAUCCGAAUCAACUUCAAUGCCUCUUUCGCUGACAAUGAAGCCUAGUAAUUUUCCCGAGGUAACCCCAAACGUACAUUUGGCCGGAUUGAGCUUUAGCUGGAACUUUCUCAGUCUGUCGAACAACUUCUUCAAGUUUACUACAUGCUCUUCUUCCCCUCGGGAUUUAGCAAUCAUGUCGUCAAUAUAGACCUCUAUUUCUUUAUGCAUCAUGUCAUGGAAUAAUGUCACCAUAGCCCUUUAAUAUGUUGCCCCAGCAUUCUUUAAUCCGAACGGCAUUGCCUUGUAGCAGAAUGUUCCCCACAUUGUUAUGAAAGUAGUUUUCUCCAUACCCUCAGGGGCCAUCUUGAUCUGAUUAUAACCCGAGAAUCUAUCCAUGAAAGAAAACAAUGAAUGCUUUGCUGUGUUAUCCACCAACGUAUCAAUGUGUGGCAAGGGAAAAUUAUCUUUAGGACUUGCUCGAUUCAGGUCACGAUAAUCUACGCAUAUUUGUACUUUGUCGUCUUUCUUUGGUACAGGGACUAUGUUAGCCACCCACUCUGGAUAUUUGGAGGCUUGUAGGAAGCCAGCAUCAAAUUACUUCUUGACUUCCUCCUUUAUUUUCAACAACAUCUCGGGUCUCAUCCGUCUUAGCUUUUGUUGAAUGGGUUUGCAUUCUAGCUUUAAUGGGAGCUUAUGGACCACUACAUCUUCAUCUAAUCCUGACAUAUCCUGAUAUGACCAUGCGAAUACAUCUUUUUACUCGCGGAGCAAAGCAAUCAAAUUAUGCUUGGUGUCCCCUGAAAUAGAGGUCUCAAUCUUCACCUCUUGCUUCCUUUCUUCAGUUCCUAAAUUUAUUGUUUCAACAGAUUCUUGAUGAGGCAAAAUCUAUUUAUCCUCUUGUUCCACUAUUCUAAGCAAGUCAGGAGACGAGACGUAGUCUUCAGCAUUUUCUUCGGCUUCGAAUUCUCCUAAACAAACAGUCUUCUCAAAAUCGAUUUCAUGACUCGCAACGGGUUUGUUCACGCUGUUGAUAUCUGAGCACCUGAAAGUUGAAUGGAAAAGGAAACUAAGAGGAGCAUCAAAGUAUUGGGACCAACAGGCAUGAUGUGAGAUAUAUGCAAUGACAGGCUGUAACAAGAGGGAAAAUUUAUGAAUUUAAUGAGAAUGUAAAGACUAUGACAAAAUGCAUCUUCAUUAAUGUUCAUUUAAAUGAUAAAGAGCAAAUCAUAAGCUCUUACAAAAGAAUCCCUCUAUUACUUAGGGACACACAAAAAGAAUAGGGUUAAUAUUGAGUAUUACUCUGGAGAAGAUUUAGAAACUACAAGGAGCUCCACAGCAGUUCAAUUGUUCAAAACGAAUCCAAGAGGACAAGGGCGUAUCGUUGUAACAUCCUUAAUUGCAUCAUUUCCUUUGUCAAUGACAUUUAUACUGACAUUCUGAAGACCCCUUUCAAUAAUUAAUAGUGUGUUUCGUGGAUUGUCUUGCUCAUGGUAUAUCAUUCCUGCAGAUGUAAAUGUUUUUGACAAAGGAGGGUACGUUAUGGGCUCCCAUUCUAUUUCUCAGCCUAAGGUUCUUGUGAUCCUUCUUUCCUGAUCUUUCUUCCAUUGUUUUCUUCUUUGAUGUAUGUCAGGCUGGAACCCCAAGCCGUAUCGGGCCUUGUGGUGCACUGGCUUUAGAGCCCUGGCUAUUCCUUGCAGAUACUUUCCAAACCUUUUCUCGCUCGAGCUCCUCUUCCUACAGUCAAUUUGACACCCAUUCUGGUAUUUCUCGACAGUUUUGGCACGGGAAUUCUAUUUCCCUCAGCGACGAAUGUGGCAUUGACAAAUUCAAGGGAUCGGAAGGAACAUUCUAUAGCAUCUUUACUCACUUCGAUGUAUGGUGCGUCGGUAAAAAUAGAUGCUACCAAGUCUUCUUCUCCAUCGACAGUAACCAAACAGCCAUCCAUGAUAAAUUUCAACUUUUGAUGGAGGGAUGAUGGGACCGCUCCAGCGGAAUGGAUCCAAGGUCUUCCCAAAAGGCAGUUAUAUGAAGGUGUAAUGUCCAUGACUUGGAACUCGACAUCAUAUAUGUAGGGACCCACUUCUAAAGGGAUUUCGAUUUUUCCCAUGACUUCAUGCAUUGUCCCGUCGAAUGCCCUUACUGUGGAAUGGCAAUGCCUUAAAUAUGACAAAUCCAUCGCGAUCCUGAAAAGUGUGGCCAAAGGCAUGAAGUUGAGUGCCGAUCCAUUGUCGAUGAGUACGUUCGGUGUUAUAUAACCCUUGCAGCGGGUUGUGAUAUGCAAUGCUUUCACGGAGCCUCUACCAUUGGGUGGUAUUUCAUCAUCACUAAAAGAAAUAAAAUUAUCUGCGUUUAGGUUAUUCACCCACCUAUCCAACUUUUCAACAGAUAUAUUGUUUGCCACGUAAGCUUGAUUUAACACAUACAGCAGAGCGUUCCGGUGUGGUUUUGAAUUCAACAGUAGAGAUAAUAUCGAGAUUCGUACUGGCUGCUUACUCAAUUGUUCUACCACGUUGUACUCACUGUGCUUGAUAAAUUUUAAGAAUUCCUGUGCUUCCUUCUCAUCCACAGGCUUUUUAGCUUCUUGUUCAGGUACAGUUUCAUGCUCAUCUUCGGUCACGUGCAUCGGUGCUUUUCCUUUCUGUUUCAAGUUACUGUUCUUCUUCACUGGUUCGUCUUCUUUCGAAUAAAAUCUUCCACUACGAGUGGAAUGACCUACUUCCCCAAUACUUCUAGUCAUGGCUUUGGGUUUUUCAUCUUCAGGUGUGACGAUAUUGACGUCGUAUUUCCAUGGUAUUGUUUUAUUGUCCUUGUAGGGGAAAGGAGAUGGUACCUCGAUUAUCACUUUUGGUUUCACCGGCUCCUUCUUUGCGUCAUAAUAAAUUAUUAAUGGUCGGUCGGCGCUAUACGGGAAACUUGACAAUUGAUGGUUAAAUGCGCAUAUUUCUCCUCUAUCGGCCUCUUCGCCGUUAUAAAAAAUCCAAUCUCUUUAUUAUCCAUCAUAUUUUGCAGUAAUCUCUUGAACUCUUCGCAGGAUUGAAUUUCGUGCCCCUCAAUACCAUGGAAUUCACAAAAACUUUGACAUUUUGUAUUUCUUCCCUCGAAUACUCUGUUAAGAUGACAAAGCAACCCCUUUUCAACUAGCACAUCCCAGAUUUUCUACAGAGGUAUUCUUAUUUCAGAAACCCAUCUUCUACUUUGUCAUUUGUCCUCCUCUCCCACUGCGCUCACAUUUCCUUCGGCGUGAUUUGGGAAUGGGUUCCCGGACGUACCGCCAGUGCCAUCAAAUCACAGAAUACCCGGAUCGAUGAGUCCUUGAACUCUCCUUUUGAAGGCAAGGCAAUUUUUCGUAAAGUGCCCCUGGUUUCCAGCAUGAUAUGCACAACUAGCAUUUGGAUCGUACCAUUUUGGGUAUGGAGGUUUAAGGGGUGCCAUGUAAUAAGGGAGAUAUUAAUUGCUUCUCUAGGAGUUUUGGGUACAGUUCCCCAUCCAACACAGGAAUAGGGGUGAAUUGCGGUCUCUUGGGAUUGGGCCUUGUUGGUCUUGGUUCAUAUUUGGGUUGGCUUUGAGUGGGUAGAGUGUUUUGUGGGAAUAUGGUGACGGGCCUUUGGUUGUUCAUGGCGUAUACGGGGUAGGAAGGAUGUGGUGCUUGGUAGUAAGGGGUCUGAGGAGGAUAAUAGAAAUUCGAAGGAGGAUAAUUUCGAGGUCGGGGUUGGUUUGGAUAUGGAUUAGGGGUAUAACGGCUUCUCAUUCCCAUCAUAUGGGCUUCUGGUUCUUUCUUCUUCAUGGGCGCUACCCUUCUUGAACUUUCUUGACCUUCCAUUCUACCGCUCUUGAUGGCAUUCUUUAUAAGCUCACUGGAUAUUACAAUAUCCGCAAAGUCUUUCGUGGCAUUUCCCACUAGUUUUUCAUAAAACGGCGCUUUCAAAGUGUUGAUGAAGAGAACGAUUAUUUCUGUUUUUGUUAAUGGAGGUUCCACUUGGGCCGAGACGUCCCUCUAUCUCUGCGCAUACUGUUUAAAAUUUUUUGACGGCUUUUUCUCCAUCAUUUGUAAACUCAUCCGGUCUGGCACCAUAUCCAAUACAUGCUUGUACUGCUCACUGAAUGCUGAUGCCAAGUCCUUCCAGGAUCGGAUCUUUUCCCUACUAAGCUGGUUGUACCACCGAAAAGCCGAUCCUACUAGACUAUCUUGAAAACAAUGUAUGAGUAGCUUAUCUUUGUUCACAUAACCCAUCAUUUUCCUGCAAAACAUUACAAGAUGCGCUUUUGGACAUCUUGUCCCAUCAUACUUUUCAAAAUCAGGCACCUUGAACUUCGGAGGCAGAACCAAAUCGGACCCAAAUUGAGCUCUUUGGCACUCAAUACAGAGAAGGCUUCUAUACCUUCUAUCGCUUUGAGUCUUUCUUCCAAACUCCUAUACUUAUCUUGAACAUCGUGAUCAUCUAUUUUCAACCUGGCUAUCUUUGCUGGAUUGUCCAAAUCUGGAACGAGCGGAUCAGCAGGACUAGCCCUCGGGUUUGGUAUGAACACUCCUUGCCCUAGAUUAGCAGGUGGUACAGGUCGUUGCUCCAGGCCUGUAGGUUCUCCUUGAGGGCAUUCUCUUUGCAUUACAUGUACGUAAGGUGGAGUGAAUCCUGGGGGAUAGAGCGGAUCUUGAUCGAGGUUAACCCUUGACUACGGUUCCAUGACGUCAGGGUUCAUAGAUCCUUUUCCUUUUAUUAGAGCUGACAUCAUUUCCAUCAUCUUGGCUAUUUGGUCCCUUUGUUCGAGCGAUUCUUCUCGAGAUCUCACCAUCAAGUCUCUUGUCUCUUGCUGUGCCUUGGCCAACUGCUCUUGUAAUUCCCUUUGAAUUCUUUCCAUCCUUUCAAUCCUUUCAUUGAAUUCAGCCUCCAUUACUCUAGCUUGUCGACGCGUUCUAUACGAAUGACGUGGUUCCAGUCUUGUGGUAUUACAACUGUGAAUUGUAUAUUUUAACCUUAGCGAACGAUUAUGGGAUAUGCAAUGAAUGAAUGAAUGAAUGAAUGCAUAAAUGUCAAAUGAAUGUUAGUCAUGAAUGAAAUGCAAGAAGUUGGUGUUGAUUUCAAGAUAGCCUUUAUUUAGGCAUUUCAUUCAUCAAAAGAGUUUAUUACAAAACAUUUUGCCAUUUUCGAUUCAGCUAUUACACAAACUUCCUAGCUAUAUCGCCAUAUUUCUUUACUCGUGCUAAGAAUUCUGAUAUGUUCGAUCUUCGACUUGGAGGGAAUUAGCAGAUGAGAAUUUCAGCUUCUUCCGAUAGUUGUACCAUGUGCAUGGCUACCUCACGAAUUUCAUUGAUCAAAUAGCUAAGCUGCAUUUUUUUUUCUUGGAGGUCCUCUUCGUAAGCACGAACGUCUCUAUCAUACUGACUAUUCUUUUCUUCCAAAGCCUUCAAGAGAGUAUCUAGCUGUUGUUGACGAUCUUGCAGCAUGUCUUCUAACUCUCGUAUCCUCUCUUUUAAUUCUUGACACUUAGAUCGACUGGUCAUUACCUCGGCAAACACAGGUUCAUAUUCGGCGUUCUUCUUCCUUAGCUCUAUCAUAGCCCGGGCAGCCUUUUCUACCCGGGCAGCCUUUUCUUCUUCUUUGUUUGCUUUCCCUUUCUAAAAUUCCAUCCCACCUUUAAUGUUGCUUAUUUCUUCUUUCCAUUCUGCCGACGAUUUGCCCAUCCCACUAUUCUUUAUUGUGUUUCUUAACUUCUUUUUUUCCAGAUGAAGAUCUCUUAAGUCAUUUCUUACGACUUUAGCCUCUUUUUGCACUUUCUCGAUUCUGGAUCUUUCAAUCUGAACGUCGAUCUUCAAUUGGUAGUUUUCCUCUUGAAGAGCACUAAGGUCCCGAGGCAUCUUGGCCUUUUUUUGUUCAAAUUCUUGCUAUUUCUAACUCGAACGGCAUUUCCUCCGAGAAAGGAUUCUGGACGGUGUAGUUUGUUGACGAGAUUUGCUGACUAUUCACCCUUUGCUUCCUCCAUAUGUCGUAAUCUUGGGUGAGGGUAUCAGCAUAUAGAGCUAACUCCAUGAGAUGAAUUCUCUUCCAAGACUUUGCAGUGUCUCGAACCCUCUUCAUAUAUCCCUCACCCGCAAAAGCAAACUCGGACUGUGCUAAUCCUCCAGUAGCGGGUAUGAAUUGUCGCGAUGAAAAUUGCCUUUGGUCUAAUAGCGGGGCAUACCCAACUCCUCCCCAUAAUCCGAGUAGUGGUACCCAAUCUUGAUCCCCGACCUUGUAUAACAGAACCGAUGGGCGGAUCCUUGGUGCUCUCCAGGUUACAUCUUCAGCUCGAAGGUUCUGAAAAAUUGAAACCCAAUGUUCUUUGGUGACAUCCUUUGGCCAUUCUCUCUCAAGAUAGGCUUCCAACGGGGCGAAAGUUUUUGAAAACAUGUGGUAUGGUGUGCGCUCUACUUUCCAGAAAUGGCUUAAAAUCCAGACAUUGAGUAACUGCGCACAUCCGAUAAAACGUCCCUUCCCACUUUCCUACAAUUGUUUAAGGAUCUGAAGGUCUCAGCCAAGAUAGUCGGGACAGGGUUGAUUCUUUGUUUUAAUCUUUCGAAGAAAUCCACCACCGCAACUUCUAUGUGUCCAAGGACUUUCGGGAAGACGAUCAAACCGUAAAUGUCCAAAGCGAAUAGAUUUACCCUUUUCAACAUGUCGGGAUGGUUCAGAACCAAAUCUCGUAGGGAAGACCAUGGAAUGCAAAUGGUUUCAUUCUUCUUCUUUAUCUAUUUUUCAGCCGACGCGUCAGUCAUUUCUGUUAAUCUCACUAACUUUUUCUUGAAGAUCAUCGGCUUAGGCUCCUUUACAUAUACUUUAUAGAAUUGUGCAUUUUCAACGCGAAGCAAAGCAACGUACUCCUCUAUAGUCGGAGUCAUAUCUUCUUGAUUGAAGGUAAAACAUUGGUAAGCCGGAUCCCAAAAUCUAACCAUGGCUUGAAUCAAUAUUUCGUUUAUGUUGACAGCAAUCAAAUUGGCUAAGUCUCCAUAUCUCUCGGUGAAGAUACCCCUAGUGUCCGAGUCCCACUGAUUCCAAACCCGAACCAAAUCUUCAAGGUUAUUCUGGUGAACAUUCAUAGUUACGUGCUCGGGCAGAUUGGUAAUACAUCCCUCCACUAGACUAUCCCUUUUUUCUUUUUGAGUUUUUAAAGACCAGUCCCGAACCACGACAUUUUUCUCGGUUGUUUGUAUAAUUGACUCUUCCAUUAGAAACUCGUUUUUUUGGCAACUGAUCUCUAGUCAACACCUUCCUAAUAUGAUGCCUAUAAUGCAUGACGAGAAAAUAAAAACACAGACAAAUAUCUUGGUUAGUAUAACAAAUAUGAAUUACGGAAAAUCAAAAUAGAAAGUGUAAAUGUCAAUGAAAUAAAAGGUAAGAGGCGUUUUUCCCAUGUACUUAUUUUGGUGACUAUUAACGGACGGAGGUUCGGCAUGGCUCUAAUUAGGUGGCUCGUACAGUUCACUAUAUGCGAUUUCAGUUCUAGACUAGUACUCGAACUGUUCUUACUAUCGUCUACUAAGACUAGUACGAAGCCUCGACCGUAACCCAUCACAGGCUCACGAGUUCAAUUUGAGGGAUUACAUUUACUUAUGCCCAUGUGGAGGGACAAGUUAUCUCACGAAAGCAUAAGUCAAAUGUAACCCGAAAGUAUUCACUAGCCUGUGCGGAGGGACGAGUUAACUCACGAAGGCGUAGCGUUUACUUUCACUUAAACGGACGGAGCCCGGGUAUAGAGCUCAUGUUAUGCAAAGAUGCACGUGCACGGUGUGUGGGGAGAAACUCACAAACCAUUCAUUUUAUUUAAAAAACUACUAAACUAAAACCAUAAAACUUAAAGCUGAAAAACAUAAGGACAAGACGAGUUAGAAAAAUAUUUACAACAUAAUGCGAAUGCAUGACUUUUUGAAAAAAAAAAUUUGAAGAUCACGACUAAAUGUCAAUUUGAACAAGGAACUUUGAAAAUUUUGACAACGCGAGUUUAAUUCCAGACACGACUCUCAAACAGGGUCCCCAGUGGAGUCCCCAGCUGUAACGACGUCAAAAAUUUAGCUUGGUCGCUAAUUGUGGCGUUUUAGUAAAAACUUGAAAACUGAAGUUUGAUUUUAAAAUACAGAGGGAGUCGUCACCGAUCUUCUUUCUAGGUGUGAUCGGACACCUAAUAAAUCAUCUUCUUUUAAAAGAAAGUUCAUUUUUUAAAUAAAAAGAAGGCCGAGUUUAGGUCUACGUCAAAAACCAAAGUAAAGUUGGGUUCGGGAGUCGGUUACGCGCGAGGAAGGUAUUAGCACCCUCUCGACGCCCAAAAUUGGUAUCUUAUAAACACGUGUUGUCUUGAUUUUCAAAAAUGCGAGUUCAAUGUAACACUUAGAUGUGAUCCGAUUAAAAAAUGAGAAUUUUUAAUCUUUUGAUUUUUAGAAGGACAUACCGUUUUAAUACGAGUCCAUUGAUGUUCACCCAACAUAGCGAUGAAAUCGAUGACUUAAUGUUAAACCGGUACAUUGCCUUGAUUAUUAAAAUCAAUUAGAAAACAAGAAUAUGACUUUCAAAGUAAUACAAAGCAAAACUGAUAUGGGAUAAAAAUAAAUAAAUGAAGGAGCUAGGUACAGCUUGAAGUAAAUAAUCAAUGUGAUAAUGAUAUUAAAAUGAUAGAGAUAUAUAUGACAUUAAGCGCAAUACUAGAAUUAAACAUGAAAUAGAAACAAUGAAUAUAUAUAUAUACAUAGUGAUGAUGUUAAGAGUACGUGCGAAAAAUAGGAAUGAAAAAAAGAUUUACAUAAUAAUACUAAUAUGGGUACAUAAUAUAUACAUACAUAUAUAUAUAACAUAUUUAAAAUGAACAUAUACAAUAUACAUAUAUAACAGGCAUAUACUAAUAAUAGUAAAAAUAGCAACAAUAAAAGAUAUAUGUACACCAAAUAACAUAUAUAUAUAUAGGUAGUAAUAAUGUUAAAGAUAUAUUAUAUAUAGUAUUUGAAAUAUAUAUAUAUAGAAUAGUAAAAACAUAACUUGUAAUGUUAUAAUAUAUAUGAAAUAUUUACAUAUGUAUAAAAUAAAUAUUAAAAAAAUAUACACACAUAAGAGAUAUAUAAACCAAUAUGUACAAUAAUAUUAUAAAAGAAAAAGAAACAGAUAAUACAAAAUAUUGAAAUGAAAUAAUGAAAACUACUAUAUAUACAUAUACACAUAUAAUGAAAUACGUAUACAACAUAAUGUUAAAACACUUAUAUAAUAUAUACAUACAUAAUUAUAAUGUUGAAAGAAAACAUAAUAAUAUUAAUAACAAUACUAAUAUUACAUAGAGAUAUACCUACAUAUAUAUACUAAAGAUAUAUACAUACAUAAAACAUAUACUAAGAUUAAUAAUAAUAAUAAAGAUGAUAUAAAAAAUAUGUACAUGAAAUAAUAAAAACAUAUAACUAAUAAUAAAAAAUAAAUAAGAGAAAUAUAUGAGAUAAAACAUAUAUGAUAUAUAUAUAUUAGAAAUGAUAAAUAAAAAUAUUCAUACGAUACAUAAAUACAUACAUAUACAUAAAUAAUAAUGGCGUUGGAGAAUAUACCAUGGUAUUAGAAAUAUGCAUACAAUAUUAUAAAAUAUUUAUAAUUAACAAUAUUAAAAUAUAUACAUAACAACAAAAGUAUGAUAUUAAUAACAUAUAUAUAUAAUAUAAAAAGGGUAUGUAUAUGAUAUAGUACUAGAAUAAAUACAUAAUAUAUACCUAAUAUAAAAAAAUUAUUAAUAUAAAAAAUUAUAAAUAAUAUUGCAUAAAUACAUUAUAAUAUUAAAAAAAAUAUGUACGUCCUACAUAUAUAUAUUAGAAAUAAUAAUAUUAGCUAUAAUGAUAAUACAUUGAUUAUAUAUAAUAAGAGGAAUAAUAAAAACAAUAAUAGUAUAAAAAUAAAAUAAUAAAAAUGAUAUGAAAAUGAACUUAAAUCUAAUAAAAGGACUAAAUUUGGAACAAAAACGAAAUCUUGGGGCAAUUUUAAAAAGAAACAAAGUGAAAAGGACUAAAAAGUGAUACGCGCGCAACCUGGGGGACCAAAAUAGCAAAUAAACCUUCCCAUUAAAACACAGCAUAUCAGUGGGGACCGAAUUGAAAAGCGUUAAAACCUUCAGGGCCAAAUUAAAAACGUGAAAAAUUUAAUUACAAAACAUCAAAAAAGCGGAGGGGUUAAAUGCGCAAAUAACCCCUCCUUUAAAAAACGCGCGGACCCUAGGCCGAACGGGUCGGGUCGGAUCGGGCAAGGCUUAAACGACAUCGUUUUGGGGCUUAAGUAUAGCCCCCAAAACGAUGCCAUUUUGGAGGGCUAUAAAUAGGCCUAAUUUCAGAAAAAAAUCAUUUGUGAGGGGAAGAAGAAAAAAAAGAAAGAAAAAAAGAGAGAAAAAAGAGAGAGGAGGGAGAGGGGAGGGAUUCCGGUGGGGGAGGGGCACCGGUCCGGUUGCCGGACCAUCAUCGGCGCCAGCCACCGUGCACGGUGGCCAGAAAAGGUAAAAGAUUUUGAUUUUCUUUUUAUUUUUUAUUUUUUAUUUAAUAUAUAUAUUUAUUAAAUAUGUGUUUAUAGGUUAAAAAUAGGCUAAAAAUGAGAAAUAAAUAAAAAUGAAUCACCUUUUCUUCGGUUUAUGUUUUGGGUAUUUGAUUCUCCGAUUUGUGAUUUUCUUUCUGUUUUUGAUCUCUUGAAUCACUGCUUACAUAUAUGUUUUAAUCUAUUCUUUAUAUUGAUGGUAAAAAUAAAAAAAAAAGUCCCUUUUAAAAAACUUCAAAUCGGCUUAUAUAGCCUUUGUACAAAUCUAUUCACUCUGUCUUUGUUGCUGUUGCGUGUCCCUCUUGUUUUGCAAGUGGAGCAGGUGGACGUGGUGGUGGCAGAGGUAUGGUGGCUGACAUGGAGAGGCAGACGGUAUAGGGCUAGGUGCAAGUGGGAGCUGAAUAGGGUUAGGGUAUUGGGCUAUGGUUGUAAACGGGCUUGGGUUUUGUGGGUUUGGGUAGGUUUAGUUGUAUGUGGGUCUGGUGGGUUUAGGUUAGUGGGUUAGGGUAGUAAAUGGGCCAACCGGGUUUGUUGUAUUGGGUCUAUGUAAUGCAUUUGGGUUAUGGGUUUUGGGAUCUGAUUGUAUUGGGUGUUGAGCUUACCGGGUUUGGGUUUGAAAAUGUAAGUGGGCCUAAUUGGCCUAUAACAAUACUCCAAAUCAAUUUCCUUCUUGUCCAUUGUUUUGAUCUUUUUCUAGCAUUUUGCAUUGAAAUAACGAUUAAUAGACCAAUAAUACUUUCACAAAAGAAGUUCUGCAUAUUACUUUGGAAGCUUUUAAAUAGUACAGGAGCCCGAAACAGGACUAUUAUUCAGAACUCACCAAGCCCAAGGGUUGGAAAUAUUUAAGCCUAAAUUGAAAUUAUCUCAGUGGGUUUUCUGUCAAAGAUAUUGGCUGAGCAAAAAGAAAUUACAUUGGUGUUAUAAUCCCGACAAAGAACAAGCAAUGGGAUUAUUCUCAGGAAAAGAAAAAUGAUAUUCUGUAUUUAUGCAAAUAUCAGGCAUAUACAUCUGGUCAUUACACCUAGGGAAUGGUGUAACCGAUCAAAUUGAUUGAAGAUGAUACAAAUCCUGUACCUUUGAGUUGCAGCAGGAUGGAUGGAAGAAACCGAAUGUUGUUCCUCUAAAAUUGCAGUAGGAGGCACAAACUUUAUGUCCCAGAAGGUACAAUGGAAGGGACUCUGAAAUUACAGCGGGGCAAGCUUGUUGAGCACAAUGUGAUCGUUUUUUUGACUUUUCUGUCAAGAAUACUAGCCGAACAAGAUGGCAACGUAAUACGUCAGUGAUAAUGUCCUGAUGAACAACGAGUGAUGAUACCUUAAGCCUUUUUAAAGGGAUCAUUUUCAUUCAUAUAUCAUUCAUAACACAUCUAAUUAGGAACAUUGAUUCAUUUCAAUCAUAGCUUCCUAAUUAUUUGACACAUUCAUAAUACAUCUAGUUAGGAGCAUUUGAUUCAUUUCGAUCAUAGCAUCCUAAUCAUUUGACAUAAGCAUAGAUACACGGAACUGAUUCUACAGGUCAUGUCCUUAGAAUCAGUGAAUUCACAAGCCUUAAACCCUAAAUAGUAGGGUAACAGGCUGGAAAUCAAAUAUCUUCUCCCUGAAAUGGCAUUGGAGCGGCUAAAAGCCACAUCAGAUCUCAUUGAAGUUUCAGUGGAGUUGAUUGAAGCUACAAGUCUUAUCUCCCUGAAGUUGCAGUGGAUUAAACUGAAGAUAUCCAAUCUUAUUUCCCUGAAGUUGCAGUGGAACAGAUUGGAGCUGAAUUACAGAUCUUAUCUCCCUGAGGUUGAAGUGGAGCAGAUCGAAGCCAUUAACCUUAUCUCCCUGAAGUUGCAGUGGAGCAGGUUAAAAUCACAAGUCUUAUCUCCCUGAAGUUGUAGUGGAGUAGACUGAAGAUAUCCAAUCUUAUUUCCCUGAAGUUGCAGUGGAAUAGAUUGAAGCUAAAUUACAGAUCUUAUCUCUCUGAAGUUCCAGUAGAGCAGAUUAAAACAGAUCUUGUCUCCCUGAAGUUGCAGUGGAGCAGAUCGAAGACGGCGAACCUUGCCUUCCUGAAGUUGCAGUGAAGCGGAGUUAAGCCACCAUCCUAUCUCCUUAAGCAGUAGUGGAGUAGGUCGAAACUACAGGUCUUAUCUCCCUGAAGUUGUAGUGGAGCAGACUGAAGAUAACAAAUUCCAUUUCCCUGAAGUUACAGUGGAACAGAUUGAAGCUAUGAAUAAACAGAUCUUAUCUCUCUGAAGUUGCAAGGGAGCAAAUCAAAACAAACCUUAUCUCCCUGAAGUUGCAGUCAAACAGGUUGAAGUCACUAGUCUUAUCUCCCUGAAAUUGCAGUAGGGCAGAUUGAAGAUAACGGAUCUUAUCUCCUUAAAGUUGCAAUGGAGCAGAUCAAGCUACAAUUGUAGAAGAACACAUUAAAGCCACAAACCUCAUCUCCCUGAAGUUGCUGUGGAAUAGGUUAAAGCUACAAGCAGUCGCAGUGGAGUGAAUCAGAGAAACAGUUCUUAUACCUCUAAGGAUGCAGUGAGGCUACUUGAAGAAAAGAAGCGCCAAGAGAAGUCAAGACUCAGUGGGUCCCCGCAAAUUUGGCCCCUUUUAUAGUCUUUGCUCUAUUCUCGUGACACGACAAUGAGCAAAGAGGGGCAGCUGUAAAUGCCCAAAUUAGACCGGGCCCAAUAAACCAAUACUAGACCCAAACCCAAUACACCCUAUUACACCCAAAAACAAAUUAAACCAACAGCCCAAACAAAAAACUAGCACACCUAGCCCAAGAACUAAAGCCAAACAGAAACCCUAAAUCUACCUAAGCCAGCCGCCACAUGCUACCACCGCCUCUACUACCGCCGAUCGUCGCCCGUACCACUAACUCUCUGACACCUGCAAAGCAAAAGAAACACGCAACAGAGACAGAAGAAAACAACGCAGAAACAGACAAUAAAAGAGAAAAAUAAUAGAAAAUAUACGGUUGUAAUAUGCCUAUAAAAAACUAAACAAACAUUUUGUAAUG
rnacentral:lncRNA from 1 species